UUUUUCUCGUUUCUUCUUCCUUUUUUUCUCUUCUUUCUCUAUCUCCAUUCUCCUCUCUCAUUUCUUCCCCAAACCCAACUCUUAAAACCCCUAGCCCCAAAUUCACGGCAACAAGGACGGCGACGAGUACGGCUUCCAGCUACCUUAAAGCCCUCAAAGCUACAGUUGGAAUCUGAUUGCUUAUGUUUCGAAAAUCUUCUGUUGCCAUUACCAACGCCGGAAUCUUCACAUUUGUCAAAACCCUAUCCACUGGGAACAGUUUCAUUCAGGGCAUUGAAGGGAUUAGCAAUGCGAGAGGCUUGCCUAAUGAUGACUACUUUGCCACGAUUCACCACAUAUCGAACAUCGUGCGGAAAGAUACUUACAUGGAGCGAACGCUCAACAAGAUGCGCAUAUCAAAUAUUGUCAAUUCAGAGCUAGUUUAUCGCAUCCUGCGCAGUUGCUGCAAUCAUGGGAUCGAAUCCUUUCGCUUCUUCAAUUGGGCCCGAUCGCACCACCCAAAUUACGAUCCCACCACCCUAGAGUUCGAAGAGCUCCUCAAAAUCCUAGCUCGAACUGGCCAUUGGCAAACCAUGUGGAAGGUGGCACAGAAUAUGAAAACACAGAAUUUCUCUAUUUCUCCAGCUGUUGUCUCAUUCGUUAUCGAGCAAUAUGCUAAGCAUGGUCUUAUUGAUCAAGCUGUUGACCUCUUUAACGGGCUCAAAAACUUUGGCUGUCCGCAAACGACUGAAGUGUACAAUUCCUUGCUUUUUGCUCUCUGUGAGGUGAAGAAUUUCCAGGGGGCAUAUGCGUUGAUACGGAGAAUGAUUAGGAAAGGGAGUGUUCCUGAUAAGAGGACUUAUUCGAUUCUUGUUAAUGCAUGGUGCUCUGCAGGGAAGAUGAGGGAGGCACAAGAGUUCUUGGAGGAGAUGAGUAAAAAAGGAUUUAAUCCGCCUGUGCGUGGUCGUGAUUUACUGAUUGAUGGUUUGCUGAAUGCAGGGUAUCUUGAGUCAGCUAAAGGGUUGGUGAGGAAAAUGACCAAGGGUGGGUUUGUCCCAGAUGUGGGCACAUUCAAUUGUUUGGCUGAAGCUUUGUGGAAGUGUGGUGAGAUUCACUUCUGCAUAGAUCUUUUCCAUGAUGUCUGUGGAUUGGGGUUUUGUCCUGACAUGGACACAUAUAAGGUUAUGAUAACUAUGACAUCCAAAAUUGGGAAAGUUGAUGAGGCUUUUAGGAUACUUCACAGGUCCGUUGAGGAUGGGCUUCGUCCAUUUCCCAGUUUAUAUGCUCCAAUCAUAAAAGCUCUUUGUCGGAGAGGCCAAUUUGAUGAUGCAUUCAGUUUUUUUGCUGACAUGAAGGUGAAGGGACAUCCACCAAACCGACCUGUGUAUACCAUGCUGAUAAAGAUGUGUGGGCGUGGAGGUAGGUUCGUUGAGGCUGCCAAUUAUUUGGUGGAGAUGACUGAGUUAAAUUUGUUACCUAUGUCACAAAGCUUUGAUAUGGUUGCUGAUGGCUUAAAGAACUGCGGGAAACAUGAUCUAGCUAAAAGAAUAGAGCAGUUAGAGAUAUCUCUGUGGGGUAAUUGAUUCAGAGCACCUCUUUGGUGUAUUUGAUUCAUCAACUCUUUGUUCAACAUUGUUAGAGGCCUCAUGCUUGUAAGUGGACAGCAUCAGAUCUCUUUGCUCCUACAAAAUUCCUAGUGGAAUAGACAGGAAAUGAAGCUAGGAAGCUAGAUUGGCUAGCCUGUUAGGGCUAACACAGCGAGUAACUGAAUCCUAGUCGGAAGGCAGGAACGGAACUGCAGCUAGAGCAAAGGCGCGGCUGUCUUCCUAGGCCCGGAAGCACCUAAAAGUGUAAGGGCCUAGGACAUAGCUGAGAGUACGGUGCAGCUCCCCUACAGAGCUAGAGGUGAGAGUGAGUGACCCACGGGUGAGGGGCACGAACAAGGGGGCCUGAAUAGGGAGCUAGCUGAUGGUGGUUUUGCUGCUUCAACUCUUAGCUGAGUUCAAGGCUGAACCAGAAACACAUGAAGUUUAUGCCCAGAUCAUUUUACAUCCAGAACCAAGAACUUCCCCACACUCUUUACGAGGCUUAGCUGAAGCCGGCGCUAGGGAUUUCCAUGAGGGUUACAUGGUAUUUUAAACUUUUGAGCAUUGGAACCAAUUGUCCGGGAGUGGAGCUAAUGCUGGACAAUGAUGUUGAUCUGGUUGAUGUCACUGAAAUUUUGGUGGGGAAAGAUAAUGUGGGGUUAUUGUGAAAGAGCUAGAGACUUGAUUUUUACAUUAUGACUAUCAAUGUCAAUGUUUUUUGUUGGUUUUAAAUGGUUUUGGACUCAGCUGCAUUAAAUUGGGCUGUUAAUCCAUCAUCUGGAGAAAACGGACACUGGCUCUGUUUACUUUAUAUUAUGAUGUGUAUUGAAACCUUCACUUUUCUUUUGAGGACUGCCGUAUGAAUAAUAGAACUACUAGUUGAUACUUGAAGUUA